GCCUUCGACAAGAUUUAACCUGUAAAAGCAUCUAUUGAUUGUCAGUUCUUUUUUUCUCCCCUUUUUGUUUUUAAUACUGGCUGCCAAUUUAACAAAGUCUACAGUUAUCUUCAAAGAGACUAUAAACUCCAUUUUGGUGUUUUGAUGGCGUAUUGAGCAUUAAGUACUAAGGUGGAGAGUGUUUGCUUUUCUAGCCUUAAAACAAAAAAAAAAAAAGAAAAGAAAAGAAAAAAACUUAGUGAUCUAAAAACAUGAGACUUUUCUUCUGUGAAGCUAAAAUUUGGGGGUAAAGUGGGCAUUUCUUUGGCAAUUUGUUUUUAAGGUAAAUUUAUCUAAGCACUUGUUAUAUCCGUGUUCUUGUCUGUGGGUGUGAGGCGAGGAGCAGUAGCUACCCUAAGAGCAAAACAAAACUGUGAAGUCUCUCAGGAACGAGUCGCAUGUUCUGUCACAGACAUCUUCUUCUGAAGCCCUUGGCUCAAACUUUCUUUCAGUGAAGAAAUGAUUGAAUUUCCUAUCAAGCUUAGGGUGAGAUCUGAAUUUCAAGUGAUGUGACAGUUGCCCACUGCUUUCUCCUUCCCUGGGAAGGUUAUGUUUCUCUCCAUAUCAUGUGGAACACAGUUCACUGUUUGAGACAGGUUCUCUCUUCCCUGUUCUAUCUCCCCUUCCCCUUCCUACUCUCUCAUUCUUCCCUCACUGCCCCUCCUUACAUGAGUUUUGGUUACUUCAACCCAUGGUGAUUAUUUUUUUAAAAAAAUUUUAAGAUAUAUCAUUAUUAUGUGGGCCUCUGUUCCUCUGUUUGUGUGUGUGUGUGUGUGUGUGUGUGUGUGUGUGUGUGUGUGUGUGUGCGCGCGCGCGUGCGAUAGAUACUGUUCUCAUGCAUGUGCGAGAUACUGUUCAGCUGUCAUGGUGUGCACUUGGAAGUCAGGGGACAACUCUCUGGAGUUGGUUCUCCCCUGCUUUCCCUUUGAUGCAUCGUGUCCCUUGCUUCUCAUGCAUUGUGGUGUGCUGUACACUAACUGGCUGCAAGCAUCUGUGGGAGCCUCCUGCCUCUGCCUCCCAAACUCACCAUAUGAGUCCUAGGAUUACAGAUGAACUACCAAAUCCAACCUUUGUACAUGGGUCCCGGGGGAUGGGGGUGUCAUCUUCCUGUUGUCGGGCUUAGCUUGCUGGCUCAUAUUAUUAUUUUUUAAUUUUUAAACAUACAAACCUAGCAUUGGAAUCCAACCUUAUGUUGAAAAUCCAACCUUAUGGAUUGUAGAUAUAAAUACUUAAAUAAUUUUAUGUCUUUGAAACAUCUCUAUUCCCCAGAUAGGUUCUGUAACACAUAAGAUUUGUGGUUGAGCCGGUGUAAAAAGAGACCGUUUACCUGAAGAUGUUUUUCUUACGUUUUACUAUGACGAGUGAAAUGCUCCCAUGUCAAAGUGGUAUAAAACGCUCCAUUUCAGCUCCCAGUGACAGUUCUUUACUUAUUUUGUAGAGUGAGCAGAUUUCAGCUGUAACAAUGUUUAUAAUGGAAAAUAGCUGGGACUCAGGAACGGGGUUGGAAGGAAAUUUAGGAAAACUUUAUUUAAUAAAGGUCCUAAGUGUCCGAGGCUUCGGAUGUUAACUUCUGUGCUCAUAAAAGAUGCUAGCGCAAGAUUUAUGUCAAUUUAUGUCAAUUUCCCACAUUUAUUUUCGUGUGUGAUUGUGGCCUAUGCUUGUGUAUGUGUAUUGUACACAUGUUGUCUGGGGUGGGGGGACAUCAAGUCACCUAUUCCAUUUCUUUCUGCCUUCUUCCUUUGAGGCAGGUUCUCUCAUUGAAUGUGGAGCGAGGUUGUCAGCCAGCAAACCCUGUGAGCCCUGUCUAGGCUACCCUCAGUGCUGGGGUUACAGGCCCUGCCUUGCAUUUUGUGUGGGUGCUAGGGAUUUGAGUUAAGUCCUUAUGCCUACAAGCAAAAGCAUGCCAGAUCAUGUUCUUAGACCUUAAUUGCUUUAAAAAAUUUUUUUCAGUUCUUAUCACAGAUGUAAACCACACUGGUAACUUGAUUUUUUUUUUAAGUUGGGAAUUAUAAGGAAAUCAAAGUUAGGCCUAAGGUAAUUACAUAAUAUGUAAAUUUGGGGAUAAGAAAAGGC
rnacentral:lncRNA from 1 species